rnacentral:lncRNA from 10 species
CUGAAUUCUUGUUAGAAGCUACUAUAGAUGUGUUUUACUUGCAGCUCAAUGUAUUCCCAACUUUAUAGAUCCUUCCACAGAAUUUGGAGCUGUAGCAGGCAGAUCAAGAUAGGAGGUUCCAAGGUCACACAGGAGGAUCUUCUUGUAUCCAAGUUGUGAGGAUGAUAUGGAGGGGCCAUGACACUCAUGGAACACAAACCAUCUAUUUGUCUACCACAAAAUGCACCCAAGUGUCUCAAAGUGCCCUUCUGGUUACAAAAUGAGACACUGCUUCAGGACCUUGGAGAGCGCCCUUCCAGGUUAACACAAGGUCAAUAUCUCCAGGACCUCCCUGAGAUCCACGGGAUGGCAUUUUCUCUUCUUGACAUUAGCCAGAAAAAAACAAAACAAAAAAACAAAAUUAAGCAAACAAUAUGGGCUGGCGUGAGAAAAUAAUUUAUUUCACUUGAAAUAUGGCAAUCUUCCUCAGAGGGAGUUUGGAGGAAAAUGUUUAUAUUUAGCAAGAUUAAGACAAUAAUAAUUCACUAAGUACUUGCUAUAUGCCAGAAAUGUAAGACAUUGUUGUCAUUUUAUGUAUGCAAAAGCAGAGGAUUAAUAAGCUACCAUAUAAUACACUUCCUAAAUGCCAGACACUCUGCUAAGAUAUAUAUACAGAUAUACUCCAUAUCUACAAAUGUAGUGCUACAAUAAAUCUCUUCACCACAAUCCUAUGAUGUUACACUGACAUACUUUGCUAUGUGGAUCUAUUCAGUUCCUGACUUUGAAGAAAAAUGAUUUAGACAGUGAAAGAUACUUAUAUUAUUGGCCCCAUUUUAUGUGAAGAAAUUGAGGCAGGUAGUACAUAGCUCUGAAUA